GAAACUAGAUGAACCCUAAAACACCAUCAUCAUCUUCUUCAUUGCCUGCACCACAACCAAGUUCACCAUCCCACAUUCUCCACUGCCUCCAACUGAACUAACAUCACUUCUCCAAAAUACUCUACGAAAUUAAUGGUUCUGUGGUUUUUCUUGGCUGGCUAUCGGAAAGUAACAAAGGAAAUUGGGAUGUUGAGAACCAUCAGAAGAAAGUCAUGUGGCAGCUGGAAAUUUUUUGGGGCUGACUGCUCAAAAUCUCAAGUAUUAUGCGUGCACAAGUUAUGAGGUGACUGGCAAAGGAGUUUCUGAUGAUAUUGAAAUGCAAAAUGGUAAUCAAGUAAUGAUUGGUAAAGAUAAUCGUGUGGAAGGCGAUAAGUUGGAGGUUUAAGCAAUCUGUUUGGAAUGUUAUUAACUACUAAGAUUGUUGCUAGGCUAUUUCAAGUUGCAAACACCAUUUUCUUCUUGUUUUAUGUUGUUGGUUCAUAUAUAUGCAGCCUACAUUCUAGUGUGGAAUUAAUGUUUA